CAGCUAGUUGGUGGGGUAAGAGCCUACCAAGGCGACGAUCGGUAGCUGGUCUGAGAGGACGAACAGCCACACUGGGAUUGAGAACGGCCCAGACUCCUACGGGGGGCAGCAGUGAGGAAUUUUCCGCAAUGGACGCAAGUCUGACGGAGCAACGCCGCGUGCAGGAGGACGCUUUUCGGAGUGUAAACUGCUUUUCUCUGGGACGAGAGUGGACGGUACCAGAGGAAGAAGCCCCGGCUAACUACGUGCCAGCAGCCGCGGUAAUACGUAGGGGGCGAGCGUUGUCCGGAGUUACUGGGCGUAAAGGGCAUGCAGGCGGUCGGACGCGUUUUGUGUGACAGCGGGUGGCUCAACUACCCGAGCAUAGGAAAGACGGUUUGACUUGAGGGCUCGAGAGGGACACGGAAUUCCGGGUGGAGUGGUGAAAUGCGUAGAGAUCCGGAGGACACCGAAGGCGAAGGCAGUGUCCUGGCGAGUGACUGACGCUGAGGUGCGAAAGCCAGGGGAGCGAACGGGAUUAGAUACCCCGGGUAGUCCUGGCCGUAAACGAUGACCACCAAGUG
rnacentral:rRNA from 1 species